rnacentral:rRNA from 1 species
AAAUGUGAGACUGCGGACGGCUCAGUAAAUCAGUUAUAAUCUGCUCGAUUGUUAAGGGUUAUUGGAUAACGCAGGUGCCUAGUUCAUACAUUUAAAAUGUGAGACUGCGGACGGCUCAGUAUAUCAGUUAUAAUCUGCUCGAAUCUCCAGGUUAGUGGAUAACCGUGGGAAAUCUAGAGCUAAUACAUGCACUUUGCGCCGAGUGGCUUGCUGCUUGGUGACCGCAUUUAUUAGAGUGAUGCCAACCGUUUCGACGCAAGUUGAGGCGUGGUGAAUCUAGAUAACUGUUGCAGAUCGUAUGGCCUUGAGCUGACGACAUUUCGAUUGAAUUUCUGCCCUAUCAACUAUUGUCGACAGUGUAGUGCACUGCCGAGGUUUUUACGGGUAACGGGGAAUCAGGGUUCGAUUCCGGAGAGGGAGCCUGAGAAACGGCUACCACAUCCAAGGAAGGCAGCAGGCGCGCAAAUUACCCAAUCCAGACAAUGGGAGGUGGUGACGAAAAGUACCAAAUGUCGGGCAUUUGUCUGACAGUUUGGAAUGAAAACAAUUUACGAAUUUGAAUUGAGUAACGACUGGAGGGCAAGUCUGGUGCCAGCAGCCGCGGUAAUUCCAGCUCCAGUAGCGUAUGUCAAAGUUGCUGCGCUUAAAACGCUCGUAGUUGGAUCACGCACUGUGUGCCGGUGGGCGCGAUAUUGUUCGCUAUUGACCCUUGUAACUGGGAUGGCGUGUCCUCACGUCAUUCUCGGUGCGAGGGAGCAGCAGUGUCGCGUCAUAAGCUGGCGUGCAGUAAUCGGCAUAGUUUACAGUGAGAACUAGAACGGUAGGGUGUGCCUUGAGUAAAUCAGAGUGCUUAAAGCAGGCGAAAGCUUGAAUGUUAAUAGCAUGGAACGAACAAUCGUGUAUGGUGUGUACUGAAUCGAGCGUGACCUUCUCUUCGGAGGGGGCGCGUUCCAGUGCACGACACCGACCACCAAUUACGGAUGUUGGUUCCGUAUUGGGGUACUGAUUAAGAGGAGCGGUUGGGGGCAUUGGUAUUUGGCAGCGAGAGGUGAAAUUCUUGGACCUGCCAAGGACUAACAAAUGCGAAGGCAUCUGUCCAGACCGUAUCCAUUAAUCAAGAACGAUAGUGAGAGGUUCGAAGACGAUCAGAUACCGUCCUAGUUCUCACCGUAAACUAUGCCGACCCGGGAUCAGUUUGGAGCUAUGUAUCCACGCUCGAGGUUGGUCCCCCUGGGAAACCUAAAGUUUUUCGGUUGCGGGGGGAGUAUGGUCGCAAGGCUGAAACUUAAAGGAAUUGACGGAAGGGCACCACCAGGGGUGGAGCCUGCGGCUUAAUUUGACUCAACACGGGAAAACUUACCUGGUCCGGACAUCGAAAGGAUAAACCGACUAACAGAUCGUUUUUGAUACGAUGAUUGGUGGUGCAUGGCCGUUCUUAGUUCGUGGAGUGAUCUGUCAGGCCAAUUCCGGUAACGAACGAGACCACGGUCUCCAUUUGACGAGUCGGAGAAGGUGCCGGUCGCGAGUGUGGUCCGUCAAACGAGCGCGCUUGUGAUUGGUGCUGUCGGUGUAACGCGAUGAUGAGUUGUGAAAUUGUGUUUUGGGUGGCAACACCUGGGGCACUAUGGAACGAGGAGUGUGUCGUGUUCCCUCCGAUCUAACAGUAGGCUAUCCGUGAGGGUAGUGUGCUGUAUCAUGGAGAGACAACGGAAUAUAUUCCAAAAUCCGAGAUCCCUAGUACGUGCGAUUCAUGAAAUCGCGCGGAUUUAGUCCCUGCCCUUUGUACACACCGCCCGUCGCUACUACCGAGUCAGGGUUCGCAAGCCGGAAACUUAAAGGAACCUGACGAAACGGCUACCACAUCCAAGGAAGG